rnacentral:rRNA from 1 species
GACAAACGCUGGCGGCGUGCCUAAUACAUGCAAGUCGAACGCUUCUUUCCUCCCGAGUGCUUGCACUCAAUUGGAAAGAGGAGUGGCGGACGGGUGAGUAACACGUGGGUAACCUACCCAUCAGAGGGGGAUAACACUUGGAAACAGGUGCUAAUACCGCAUAACAGUUUAUGCCGCAUGGCAUAAGAGUGAAAGGCGCUUUCGGUUGUCGCUGAUGGAUGGACCCGCGGUGCAUUAGCUAGUUGGUGAGGUAACGGCUCACCAAGGCCACGAUGCAUAGCCGACCUGAGAGGGUGAUCGGCCACACUGGGACUGAGACACGGCCCAGACUCCUACGGGAGGCAGCAGUAGGGAAUCUUCGGCAAUGGACGAAAGUCUGACCGAGCAACGCCGCGUGAGUGAAGAAGGUGUUCGGAUCGUAAAACUCUGUUGUUAGAGAAGAACAAGGACGUUAGUAACUGAACGUCCCCUGACGGUAUCUAAACAGAAAGCCACGGCUAACUACGUG